rnacentral:ncRNA from 1 species
AAAUGGCAAACCCGAGCGAAAGCCGGGGGCGCAAAGUCACGGGUCUAUAAGGAGGAAUCUAUGAUCGCCGGACUGCCGAA